rnacentral:rRNA from 1 species
GCGAGCGGCGGAUGGGUGAGUAACACGUGGGGAACCUGCCCCUAAGUCUGGGAUACCAUUUGGAAACAGGUGCUAAUACCGGAUAAUAAAGCAGAUCGCAUGAUCAGCUUUUGAAAGGCGGCGUAAGCUGUCGCUAAGGGAUGGCCCCGCGGUGCAUUAGCUAGUUGGUAAGGUAACGGCUUACCAAGGCGACGAUGCAUAGCCGAGUUGAGAGACUGAUCGGCCACAUUGGGACUGAGACACGGCCCAAACUCCUACGGGAGGCAGCAGUAGGGAAUCUUCCACAAUGGACGCAAGUCUGAUGGAGCAACGCCGCGUGAGUGAAGAAGGUUUUCGGAUCGUAAAGCUCUGUUGUUGGUGAAGAAGGAUAGAGGUAGUAACUGGCCUUUAUUUGACGGUAAUCAACCAGAAAGUCACGGCUAACUACGUGCCAGCAGCCGCGGUAAUACGUAGGUGGCAAGCGUUGUCCGGAUUUAUUGGGCGUAAAGCGAGCGCAGGCGGAAAAAUAAGUCUAAUGUGAAAGCCCUCGGCUUAACCGAGGAACUGCAUCGGAAACUGUUUUUCUUGAGUGCAGAAGAGGAGAGUGGAACUCCAUGUGUAGCGGUGGAAUGCGUAGAUAUAUGGAAGAACACCAGUGGCGAAGGCGGCUCUCUGGUCUGCAACUGACGCUGAGGCUCGAAAGCAUGGGUAGCGAACAGGAUUAGAUACCCUGGUAGUCCAUGCCGUAAACGAUGAGUGCUAAGUGUUGGGAGGUUUCCGCCUCUCAGUGCUGCAGCUAACGCAUUAAGCACUCCGCCUGGGGAGUACGACCGCAAGGGUUGAAACUCAAAGGAA